AUUGAACGCUGGCGGCAGGCCUAACACAUGCAAGUCGAGCGAGCGGCGGACGGGUGAGUAAUGUAUGGGGACUGCCCGAUAGAGGGGGAUAACUACUGGACACGGUGGCUAAUACAGCAUACUCUCGGAUAACCCAUAUGGGAUUAGCUCGUAGGUGGGGUAACGGCUCACCUAGGCGACGAUCUCUCGCUGGUCUGAGAGGAUGAUCAGCCACACUGGAACUGAGACACGGCCCAGACGCGUAUGGAGGCAGCAGUGGGGAAUAUGGCACGAUGGGGUCAAGACUGAUGCAGCCAGGCCGCGAGUAUGAAGAAGGACUUAGGGGUGUAAAGUACUGUCAGCGGGGAGGCGUUACCCGCAGAAGAAGCACCGGCUAACUCCGUGCCAGCAGCCGCGGUAAUAC
rnacentral:rRNA from 1 species